rnacentral:misc_RNA from 1 species
CCUGCUGUGGUGCCAGCAGGCGCGGAAGUAAAAGCGACAUACAGCUCAGUGCGAAGGACACAGUGACCCCCACGCAACCGCCGACAGCUACCGAGCCGGAUGUCUUGCAUCCCAACGCAGCAACCCUUGAAUGAGGUAGAGUUGCUGAUGCAGGAACUGCAACUACGCAUGACGCGAACUGCCGAGGCCAGUCCUCGCCUGUACGCAGCCCUACAGGAGCCGCGUGCCAUCUAUGCGAUACUGGCGGAGUUUUUCGAGUCGCAACUCGAGCAGUCGCGACGGGCGAAAGACGUGGCACUUGAAGCGGCGGAUGUGCGGCGAGUAUGGGCCUUCUGCUUGGAGGCGCUAGCGUUCUCGUGCGCGACGUAUGACACGAACGCCGCCCCCUCGUCGAGUGCACUGUCGCACGCCCAAGCGCCUGCCCAGUCGCUCGACGACUUUGUCCGCGGCGCACCGUCUCUGCCGCUUGAGGCUCUGCAGCGCGGCGCCCCUGUUGUCGAUGCGAAUUCCGUUGCGCGUGCGCCGUUUGCCGCCGCUACGCCGUCAUCGCCGUGCACAGCGAGGAGCGAAGCGCGUCGCACCUCCGUCUUUUCUAUUCUUCGCUCAGGCUUUGCGGGAAUGAUGGACUUGGCGUACGUGGCCGAUCAACGCCUACAGCGCCCCUCGUCAUCGGGAGCAAUCUCGGUGGUGUCGCUGGCCGCCCUUGCCGCUUCUCUCGUCCCGACACUGGAUCGAGUGCAGGCAGUGCGGUUGACAGCUCAGAUCGCGGAUGACGUCGUCGAUAGUCGCAUCACUUCCAGUGACGGGUCAACCGUGCCACCGUGCUCGAGGUCUGCUGUGGCGACACUCUUGGCUGGCGUGUGGCACAUAUGGGGUGUGUUGGACGCCGCACACUCGCCAACGCUCUACUCGCUGGGACAGCGUCUCUUUCAGCAGUUUGCCACCCCCGCGCAUGGCCGGAUGGCGCCUAACGUAUCGCCGGUGUCCUUCGCGGCCUGGUUGCAACGUGCUCUACGGGAAAACAACGGUGCUCUGCAUCAACAGUUGUACGCAGAUGCCGAAGGGAGUACGCCCCCAGCGAAAAAAAGUGCUGGAAAAGUCGAUGCUGCUGCCACACGCGCAACUAAGGACCAUAACACGGCGGCAGUGACGGAGGACGUUGCUGCUGUCUCAGACUUCUGGGCAUGGCUUGCAAGCUAAGCAUGCCGCAGGUGUCUGCGUGUGUCAGCGCACGCAGGUGUACCCGCGACGCCACUGCUCUGCUCAAGUUUGCAUAUCGCGUGUUGGCACCGUUGUUGCAGCGACGUUAGACUGCGUUCUUUAGUCGCGGAGCUGAGCGGAGAUGGCGGUACGCAUGUCGGACAGGUGCCGCAGGGCGCUGUUGCUGAGCCGCACUGGACAAGCUACGCUGUCCCUCCCUUGUCCCGGCCAAUCUCGCGCACGUGUGUCAGCAUGCACGCACCUCGCCUCUUCAGUCGGCCUCUCCAUGUACAGGCCCGGCGUACGCAAGGCGCGGCGCCAGUGC